CAAAAUUAACAUCCUCAUUUUGCUUAUAUUAUACGAUUUUAUUUAUCUAUGUUAAAAGCACCCAUAAAGGAUGGAAGGUUUUAAGUACUGGUGUAAAAUUGCGCGUUUGAAAUUCGCACAGGUAGAGAUAAAAUAAUUUUGUCGUUCAAAGUAUGACGGGAUGCAUAAAUACAAUCACGUAAAAUAGAUAUAACAAAGAACAGAC
rnacentral:lncRNA from 1 species